ACAAUUAGCUGUUGGGACACUAGAUGUUUUAGUAGCGAAGCUAACGCGUGAAAUUGUCCGCCUGGGGAGUACGGUCGCAAGAUUAAAACUCAAAGGAAUUGACGGGGACCCGCACAAGCGGUGGAUGAUGUGGAUUAAUUCGAUGCAACGCGAAGAACCUUACCUGGUCUCGACAUGUACGGAAUCUCUUAGAGAUAGGAGAGUGCCUUCGGGAGCCGUAACACAGGUGCUGCAUGGCUGUCGUCAGCUCGUGUCGUGAGAUGUUGGGUUAAGUCCCGCAACGAGCGCAACCCUUGUCAUUAGUUGCCAUCAUUAAGUUGGGCACUCUAAUGAGACUGCCGGUGACAAACCGGAGGAAGGUGGGGAUGACGUCAAGUCCUCAUGGCCCUUAUGACCAGGGCUUCACACGUCAUACAAUGGUCGGUACAGAGGGUAGCGAAGCCGCGAGGUGAAGCCAAUCUCAGAAAGCCGAUCGUAGUCCGGAUUGCACUCUGCAACUCGAGUGCAUGAAGUCGGAAUCGCUAGUAAUCGCAGGUCAGCAUACUGCGGUGAAUACGUUCCCGGGUCU
rnacentral:rRNA from 1 species